rnacentral:lncRNA from 1 species
CUCCGUGCUUACCGGGGCCUCCCCGGCCAGCCCUCGUGGGAAUAUUGGAACAGACCAGUUGGGGAGGCGGAUGUCAGCACAAGCAGGACCACACAGGGUGACUAGUGCUGUCCCACAGGGAGCCCUGGGCCUGCCCAGCUGGUCUGAGCCCAGCCCUGCAGCGAUGGCUCCCCAGGCCCGGGACCAGGACUCUGCAGUCAGACCGGACCUGAGUCCAGCGCCUCCCGCUCUCUGUGACCCCGGUGAAGAGCACGCGCUCUGUCGCAGCACUGUUGCAGGGCCCAGCAGGAGGCCGGCCUCGGUUCCCCCGGAGUGGGGAGCCGUGGACACGGCUAAGGGGAUCAGCUUUGAGCUGGGGGGAGAGGAGCCCUCGGGGGCAGCAACGGUCAGGAGGGGAACAGCCCCUUGAACUGACUCGCAAGGGGCAGGGGUCUGCUGGUGGUCAUGUGGAGAACAACAGAUUCUGGACAUGCUGGCCGCUCACUGUCCUCCAGUGCUGGAGUCCUGGGCUCUGCAGGUCAGGAGCUGACAAAAGCUGGAUCCAAAUCUGGAAGGUGCCUUCAAGGGCGUGACACCUAACUGGCUGCUAUCCCUGCACCUCCCACGACAGCCUCAUGCUCCGCCGCCCCCGCGAGGAAUUUUAUGGAUGCAAAGAAGGUGGAGACAUGAAAUAAACACUUGGG